AUACGUAGGUGACAAGCGUUAUCCGGAUUUACUGGGCGUAAAGGGCGUGUAGGCGGUCUUGCAAGUCAGAAGUGAAAUUCCUGAGCUCAACUCGGGCGCUGCUUCUGAAACUGCAGGACUUGAGUGCUGGAGGGGAUAGCGGAAUUCCUAGUGGAGCGGUAAAAUGCGCAGAUAUUAGGAAGAACACCGGUGGCGAAGGGGGCUAUCUGGACAUUAACGGACGCUGAGGCGCGAAAGCGUGGGGAGCAAACAGGAUUAGAUACCCUGGUAGGCCACGCCGUAAACGAUGAAUACUAGGUGUAGGGGGUAUCGACUCCCUCUGUGCCGCAGUUAACACAAUAAGUAUGCCGCCUGGGGAGUACGGCCGCAAGGUUGAAACUUAAAGGAAUUGACGGGG
rnacentral:rRNA from 1 species